AUCGCUUCUCGGCUUUUGGCUAAGAUCAAGUGUAGUAUCUGUUCUUACCAGGUAGUCCAUUGGUAGCAAUGGAUGGUUACAUGGAGGAGCAGGUGUACCGGGGUGUUUCGGGGCUGGUGCCACAUAACCAGCUCAAUGGCUGUCCUGAUGUGACCUCUUUCCUCCGGGUCUCGCCAUGAGGCU